AUUUUUUUUUAUUUACUGUUCACCGAGAGCAUGUGAGUCUGGCUUCUUCUCUGGAUUACCGCUGAUACACCACUUACCAAGGUUUCUAAUAUGGAUAACAAGUCUCUAAGCACAUGGAUAAUGGAUUGCUAUAAUCAUUUCAGACAAAUAUUGAACACGGCAUGGAAACAACUUUCUGCUACAAAUUUUAGCUCGAAUGCAGGCAAUACAGCACCAAUCAAAAGUCCGAAUGGAUAGAUAGGAUAUGAAUCAUCAUCGACUUAGAUGUCUUUGCACCACUGAUAACUCAGUAACAUAUAGUAAGUGAAACAACACUUUGAAGGAGAAGACAGACCAAAAAGAUGUAACUGAUGUGUGAUGCUACUACUUCACCACUCCACAUGGAUGCAACACAACUGACUACUUCCUGAACUAUUUUUCCUGCUACAGGUUAUCAUCACCUACUAGUGAUCCAAAAAUUCCUUGCUUGAAUUGAACAUGUAGACUCUUCCGUUGUCUUCUCAUAUCCAAAAUAAUUAACCUGCAAGAGAAAAACAACAUUGGCAUUGAGUAACACAAGAACAGGAAGUGCUACAAUGUGUCAUGAUGGAGACAAGAAGAAGACUACAUUGUCAGGGAUGAGCAGCAGAAACCUGAGUGAGCGAGGCAGCUAGUGAAGAGCUUCGACUGCGAGGAGGUCCAGGAGAUCCAUUCCCUCGACCUCAUCAAGCAGGUGAUCCAUCUCAUCGGCGUUCAUCGGGCUCUGUGGAGACUCAACCUCCGCGGCGGGAGCGGACAGCGAGUAGGCGAGGCGGAAGCUGAUGAGGUUGGGGCUGAGGGCGCCGAUCUUGGCCGUGCCCGUGAACGCCUCCGCGGCAUCCAGGCUGCUCUCGAAGAUCACCACAGCGACGGAGAAGCCUUCCGGUCAACCUCGUGGUAGCUUCUCAAUACAGAGAUCGGAUCUUCAACUCAAACUGGAAUCAAUAUAAUUUUUUCACUUAAGUUUGUGAAUUGAUGAUAGAGAAAAACCUCUCAAAUUGUAAUAAUACAUGGAGUUUUGCAUGGAUAAAAUAAAAUAAGGAACAUAAAUUAAUGCACCCUUUCACCAUUACGUAAGCAGCCCAGUUAAGAAAAUAAAUUAAAUUAAUGACGCACAAGAAUCAAGUCUCAUCAAAAUAGCGAAAAUUCAUGAUACCGCAAAAGCUAAACCCUUAAACAGUAAAUUAGUAUUAUAUCCACACUUUGACUCGAAUAAUAAUAAUGCCACCUGAAAGCGCAGUUGAUCUCCCUCCGGCUCCAAUGAUUUGGCCUUUUUCUUUGAAGGGCCGAUUUGGCCUUUUCUUGCUUCAACGCUCAUUUUUUGAUUCAUUAGAUUGAGCUCCGCAUGUUAUUAACUAAUACUCCAUCCGUAAACUAAUAUAAGAGUGUUUAGAUCACUACUUUAGUAAUCUAAACGUUUUUAUAUUAGUUUACAAAGGGAGUACUUCUCUGUGCAUUAUCAAACUUGCUUGUACAUUCCUGCACUUCAAGUACAUCAAAAGAUGCAUAAAUAAUUUGUGCAAAUUGGAAGGCUCACUGUACAUAGGAAUUUGAUUUCUCUCAUAUUUCAAACAGAAGAAGUCAAACAGAGUAGCACGACAGCUGCAUGCAUGAAACACGUAUCAAAGAAAUACAUCAAAGAGCAAAAGGAGAGAGAGAGAGAGAGCUAAUAGCACACGGCCCGCAAACAACAGUCUGUCCUUCAGAUGGAAGUAGCCCAUGUGUACAUGACUGGUUUUCGCCGGAUAAUCCUGCAGCUAACCUUGAAGGACGAACAGCACAUCGGCCUAGUGUAUGUGCUGUUGUCCGUGCUCUUGUUGACGGAGAGCGCUGGGUGAUGGCGCCUGCGGUGAACUACAACUGGAUCUUGGAUCUUGAAAGCGUACUGCCCGCACGCGGAGGCGCUGCCGGUCUCGUCAUGACUGAUUGGUACUACAAUGUGGCGCCGUCCGAGAUGGGUCGGAAGGGGUGAAGCAUGCAUGAUGCACCGCGGCGUACCUCGUCCCCGGGAGGACAAACGCAGGCACGCAGGCCCAUCCCUGUCCAUCUCCCACGACUUGCCUCCACUGGUUGUGCUCUUUGCGUGGUCAAGGGGGGUGCACACGGCUCCUGUCCUGCCGCGCAUCAAGAACUCCCUGGCCGCCGACCACACAUGUAACAUGUCUAACACACCGCGCCCGAUGAAAGGAGGAGGGAAACAGAUAGGGAGAGGAUCGAGGGCAUCAUUUCAGGCUGCAGCUGGCCGGAUUUCUGGCUGGCGCUGUCCGUCUCCGGCAGGCCUCUAGCAUGCUUCCUUCUUCUUCUUUCUCUUUGCUACUAUCCACCAACCGAGAGAGAAAUCGAGCACCGACGCGAUAGAGCCUAAUCGAUAGCCUCACCGUGCAAAAAAUACUGUAAUUGAGAGGCGGCAUCAUUUCUAAAAAAAAGAGGCGGCAUCAUAUGACCUCUCCCUACUCUUCCCUGUCCCUUUUCCUCCUUCGCGGCUCGCUCCCGCCUCCAACUUCAGCCACCGCUGGCUGUCUCCUGCACCGUCUGUCGAUUGGAUGCCUCCUGGCGGCGACCAUCAACGUCGGCGUCGGGCACGCAACAGGGAUAGACUGCACGUCGUCACCACCAUGGGAUUGUCGUCGGUGGCAUGGUGGCAACCGGGAGGGCUGGAGAGAAGCGAAGCAUGCCGAUGCCAGCACUACAGCAGUGAACGGGAUGCGGGCGGCACACGAAUCGGCCGACUUGUAACCGGGCAUGCAUAGGGCUUACCUGGUGUCGGUUGGAGAAGUUGCGCCCGAUGGUAGUGCUGCACCGCCUUCUUGGGAACGCCGUCGGUGGGCUUGCUUGCCUGCGCCCCGGUGUGGGUCUUCUUCUACUGGAAGAAGGACUUGACGUCGCCGCUCAUCAUGGCUCCCUCUCCGAAGCAGAUGACGCAGCCGUUGUGACCUCGCCGUCCUACAGUUCAAGCAGGGGCAGAGCACCUCCUCGCGUCGCUGCGGGCGGUAGCCUACCCGAGGCGAUAGUUCCCCAUUGUGACGACGCUAGGUGGGUCACCGGCAGUCUGGCGGCCGCGAGAAACAUGCUGCAACCGCCAGGUCGAGCAGAGGAGCCGACAGCAUGGUCGCGCUCUCCGCCGCUCAUGGCCUCCGCAGUCACCGUCCCGCAGUCACCGUCCCGAGGCCUGUACUAUGCUUGCGACCCAGACUACUGCGAUGGAGACCUAGAUCGAGAGGGAGGAGGGCCUUUUAUGUAGGUAAAAACAACGGUGGAGGAUUUCACGCGAACCUUCCCACGAACCAUCAAGCGAGGCCCAAGCGGCACCGAUCAGGGACCGGAGCGACUCUAGAUUUCACGAUGAAAGCGGCACCGAUUACAUUAACAUAGAGCGGCACCGAACCACCGAAGGAAACUUACGCAAUUCAGUCAAAGCGGAAGGAUGGCCCACAAGUAACAAAAUUUGCUAAACCCACCAAAAGAAACGUGACAGCAAUUCAAAAAAUUUGAAACAAACUUCUGAACACACAAGGCCUUUGUACACAGCCAUUUACCAAAAUAAUAGCACGUGUCAUGUACACAAUUCACCAUGGGUCACUUUCACACAAGUGGGUUAACCUUAGAGCAAAAACGUUGCCUGAAAUAGAGGCUUGGGUAUUUUUGGGGUAAAUGAAUGUUUUAUUCAGUGCGAAGUGUAAUAUAUUAUGAUAGCUAUAUCAACUAAUUUUUUGUAUUGCCACAUGAUACCCGUGUUCUACUACUAAACAUGAUCUUAAGGAUAUCACUACAUGUGCUUCAUGCUUCAUAUUUUUCCCGAACAUAGGUUCCUCAAAAAUGUUUUCUUAUCUGAACAUUUAUUUGAAGGAGUAUUCUAUUAUUUUUGUUUUUAGCAUAUAUUCCCACAGCAGCAACGCGCGGAGGUAUCGUCUAGUUUUUUUAAUCAUCCAAGACGCUCAGGUGCAUGCAAAUUUUCACGGUCAAAUGACAUCCGAGGAACUCGUGGCAAAGAAAAAAGAACGGCCACGAACCCGAGCAUCUUGGAUGCCUAAUCUUUUUAAAUAAAAAUUUGAAUUCGUUUUUGAAUUUACUUUUCACCGAGAGCAGAUAAGCCUGGGUUCUUCUCUGGAUUACCACUGAUACACCAAUCACCAAGGUUUCUAAUAUGGAUAACAAGAAUCUAAACGCGUUGACUGGUAUAAUCAUUCAUUUCAGACAAAAAUUGAACACAACAUGGAAACAAUUUUUCAUCACCAAAAAAAAACAUGGAAACAAAUUUCUGCUACAAAUUUUAGAUCAAACGACCAAGCUUAUAAUGCAGGCAAUACAGCAGCAGUCCAAAUUCCAAAUGGAUAGAUAGGAUAUAAAUCAUCAUCGGCUUAUAUCAGUGGUAAUCAUCAUCGGCUAUAAAUCGGAUAUGAUUUAUAAACAUAGGAUAUAAAUCAUCAUCGGCUUAGAUGUGUUUGCACCACAGAUAACUCACUAACAUAGUCAUUAAACAACAAUUUUCAGAAGACGGGCCAAAAAGAUGUAACUGAUGUGUGAUGAUCGUACUUCACCACUCCACAUGGAUGCAACACAACUGACUACUUCCUGAACUAUUUUUCCUGUUACAGGUUAUCAUCACCUAGUGAUCCAAAAAUUCCUUGCUUGCAUUGAUCAUGUAAACUCUUCCACUGUCUCCUCCUAUCCAAAAUAAUUAACCUG
rnacentral:lncRNA from 1 species